GGAAUGCUGACUCUCUCACAUCUCAAAACUCUUUCUACCAAAGGAGAAAAAUGAAGUUUGAGAAAUAUUUUACUCUAAUAAGUGAAAUUUUGAAUAUUCUGAAGAUAAAAGAACGUGGCACUCCUAAGAAGCCAUGUUCAACAGCUGAUUCAGGAGUGCUGCUAAGAGUUCACAACAUGCAGGAGGGGAGUCUCCUUGAGACAGAGCCAAGCCUUCCUCAAUUUGCAUUCUAUGCAUCAGUGCUCAUUGUUGACUGGGGAGAGAAAUGAGAAGAGCAAAGUGGAAGGAGGUGGUGGAAAGCGAGGAAAGGCCGCCAGAUCCCACCCUUGGACCCCCAUGAAAAUGGAAACAAUGGAAUAAUCAAAGUUGAGAAGCCAACCACUCAAGCCAGCCGCCGGUGCUGUUGACCCAAGGGCCGUGGUCCAUGGUACUUGAAGAAGCCAGAGCCCACAUCCUGUGCGCUGCUGAAGGACCCUACGCUCAGUGGCCUGGCACCUCACUUUGAGAAGAGUGAGCACACUGGCUUUGCAUCCUGGAAGACCUGCAGGGGGCGGGACAGGAAAUGUUCCUGAGAAGGAUUUUAGAAAACCCUGGGAAAACCC
rnacentral:sRNA from 1 species